rnacentral:misc_RNA from 1 species
AAGUAUCAUAGAUAUAAAGAAGAACAAAGAUUGCUCAUAUACAACACUCACUAGAAGUUCACAAGCUAAUUUACAACAAAUGCAGCUCAUUUGAUCAGUCCUGCAGCAACUGAAUCAGAAAACAAAUGGAACAACAAGUCGAAAAUACAUCUCGUAUGCUCAUGUUUAUCACAAUAGUUUACAACAGAGGCAAAUUCAAAAUCUAGAGUCGGUGAAUUCAGAAUCAGUGAUUGUUGCAUGAUAUGUACACGUCUUUUCUUUUUUUGCAUGUGUGUAUGCAUACCUCGAUCUGAACGACAGAACAUGUACAUCCCUAGUUUACAACGAGACUUGAUCCUUGCCCCUUACUAUCUUCAAUGUUGCUCGAAAUUGAUAAGUUUUCUCUAAUACCAUCUGCAAGUUUCUGAGCCUCGUCUGACUUCAGCGGACAUCUACUUAAGGUCUCAGAAGUCCAGAGGCAAUCGCUUGCUUUACGAGGAAUUAUAUGAAUGUGGGUAUGAUAUAUAACCUGGCCAGCUGCUGCCCCGUUGUUAACUAACAAGUUGAACG